rnacentral:rRNA from 1 species
UACAGAGGGUGCGAGCGUUGUCCGGAAUCACUGGGCGUAAAGGGCGCGUAGGUGGCGCGACAAGUCAGUGGUGAAAGUUCGACGCUCAACGUCGAAUCGGCCACUGAUACUGUUGGGCUUGAGCACUGUAGAGGCUAAUGGAAUUCCGGGUGUAGCGGUGGAAUGCGUAGAGAUCCGGAAGAACACCGGUGGCGAAGGCGGUUGAGCUGGGCAGUUGCUGACACUGAGGCGCGACAGCGUGGGGAGCAAACAGGG